UAACAACUAGACCUUUCACUUAAUGCUCUGUGAACUCUGGCUCAUCUCAUCUCUUAUAUCAGACUUCUGGCUCACAAAUCAUCUCUUAUAUCAGACUUCUGGCUCACAAACCACAUAGCAUGUAGGCCUACUAACCAAGCUACAACUACUGAGGAAUAUCAUUGGAAGACAUAGGCGAUGACCCUUGCCCCUUUAAGUAGUAGUCUAGACUUCCCGCUACUCCCCCAUUUCUCUUAUGCUAAUCUCUCCUAACUUCUAUGCUACCUCUGGCUCUGGCUCUAACUUUCAACUUCACCUCUAUCCUCUACUUCUCCUAUGUUUGAUAGCUUUCCUUCCGUAGAUAUAGUAGUUAUCGUAAGGGAGUUGACAGUGACAUUUCCCUUCAAUACGAGGUCGGGCGCUUAUAGUAAGUUGCAGAGUCCUGUACUGGCUUUGAAGCGGGCUCAGAGGCUUAAGUGAGCAGUGCGGGUGCAGUUUCUUCAGCGCAAGAAAGAUUCCAUUCAGAAUUGUGGCCCUUAGAUUAAGUCGCACUAGCGGCAGUGAUCCUUUCUGAUAAACCACUUCUCUUUCCCGUCUACCUACGCUAUACCAACACAGUCAAAAAGCCAUAUCAAUUUCUUAUAUCUUUAUAUGUUUAAAUCGUACCUGCUCUCGGUGUCGCGGUAGCAAAAGGACUGAACCGCUUGCUUGAUAC
rnacentral:lncRNA from 1 species